CUGAUUGGCCGACCGCAAGUGACGACACGCUCGCGCGCCGCAGGGCGGGGCGACAUCCGGGGGAGGAGCACUUCCGGCGGCCGCGCGGAGCUACCAGAACUAUUUGAUGAUGGUUCCAAAUCCAUGUACAGGAGACACUGCAGCGGGGAUUGCCGUGGAACCAGGCAGGCCUGUGUGCAACCUGCAUUGAACGCAGUGGGGAAGUUUGGACCCAGAGGCGCACAUACAGGAAGAGAUGCAGACUCAUCGACAAGCCAAGAGGGAGCCCGGAGCAACCUCCCCUCAGCCUCAGGAGGAGCCAGCCCCGCCGACACCUGGGCCUGGACGAUCCUGGGGGACCGUGAGGAAACAGUGUCUGUUGUGUAACCGCCCAGACUGGGGCGCUUGGUGCCAGCCCUAGCAGGGCCGCCUGUGUUUCCUCGCUCACUGACAGCGUCUCACGGUUGCUAGGAGUCCUGGGGAAGGAGAACCAGGGCCUGCGCAGCUCGGUCCGCCCCACCCGCCUGCCUCCAGCAGCCCAGUGACCCCCAGUUUCCGAAGAGAAGUCCAGCUCCCGCAGUGGCAACACCCUGGCCCAGCUCCUGUGUCGGCCACGGCCACGGCCACGGCCACGCUGGCCUCCCCCCGGCCCGGGCCUCGGCUUGCGGUUCCUCCUGCCGGCAUCUCUUCCCUCCGUGCACCCGGAUUCUAGAAGCUGAGCAUUUACCUUGCAGUCACCUGGCAACCAGCGUUGGGGACAAAAGCCACAGGCAAAGGAUCGCUGAACAGAAGGCUAGAAGGAGCCGGAUGGCCCCCAGCUGCCCUCACACCUGAACGUCCAUCCUCUGACUCCUGUGUGGGGCACAGAAGCCAAAGCCGCUGGGGCGCGCUGAGCCCGUCUGUCCAGGGUGACGUUACCCUCGCCAAGUGAGAUGCCGGUGGUCCCACUGCGACACGGGACGCUUCUUCCAGAUGCCAUGGUCUCUCCCACGUGAGAGAAAGGACGUCGGGCGCUCUUCUUUCCCCAAAGGACGUGAGCUCUUUACUCUUGGACCUCAUCGCACUCUGCACUCCCCGCAGUCCCCCCGGGUGUCUGUGCACAUCUGUUCUUGCCCUCCGGGCUCUACUGGAGAUGCACAUUGAACAGCAAAGCUGCUCGCUUUGUGCAGUGUCAGUGUUGAGCCCCACACGGUCCCUGACGCAGUGAUGUCUGACCCAGCCGUGUGGGUCUGGGCUGAAAUUCCACCAUGAACUUCUUUCCUGAAAAUCCACAUAAUUCUGUGUAUCUCCUUGAAACUUAAAGGAGUUGCUGGUGAGCUUCUCCGUGGAAGGACUUGUUUUGUUUGAAGUCCAAGGAGGCCACACAGGCCAGUCAGAGUUUGUUCUUAAGCAGAGGAAACCCCUGGAAGGAAGCACACGACGUGCGUGUGGAUGAAAUACAGGGUAAGCGAUGCAGGUCUGAGCCUUGGCCAGUGAACACCGGGCCGUAGAC